ACAUUGACCAGAGCAUGACCUAAUGAAUUUCAGAAGGUCAAAGGAUAUAGAAUUCUCAUCAGCAUCCUAGCAACAUCCCCUGAGAAAGCAAUGACUGGUGGCAAUGGCUGAAUCAGGAACAGGGAACACACUAAACACACUGAGGAAAGUCCUAAAUUCUCUCCACACAUUGAGAAGACAGGAAAAGCAAAACCCAUUACAAAUACAUGUAGCCAUCCGAAACCCAUUCUGCAUUAGCCAUGUGCAAAACAAAAGGAAGGAAAAAGAAAGAGGAGGAAAUUUGCUUCAGUUUGUACUCUGAAUCCAUCGGCUCUCUCUAUGGAAGUAAACAACUUAAUGGAAAGUGUUGGAUUCGAUUUCAGCAGACUUGGACUAUAAUCCUGGAUCUUUGAGCAAGACACAAAAUUAUAGAAUCACAGAAUUUGAGAGUGAUGAAGGGCCUCAGCAUUGAUCUAGCCCAGUUCAUACAUGAAAAGGAUACCAUUAUAAUAAACCAAACAAAUGGCCAUCCA
rnacentral:lncRNA from 1 species